rnacentral:rRNA from 1 species
CUGGGCCCUCGCCCUUGGAUUGUAGCCUCUAGACAUAGUGCCAACGGAGGCGCAGGUGCAAGCCUCUUGGAAAAGAGCAUCAAUGUGGGUGAGAAUCCUGUGUUUCACUUGCAGUCCACCGUGCACGGCACAUGUUCUCAGAGUCGCGUUCCUCGGAAUUGGAGCGUAAAGUGGGUGGUAAAUUUCAUCUAAAGCUAAAUAUAGGCUUGAGACCGAUAGCAAACAAGUACCAUGAGGGAAAGAUGAAAAGGACUUUGAAAAGAGAGUUAAAAGUGCUUGAAAUCGCUGAAAGGGAAGCGAAUGGAACCAGUCUUCUGGCUGAGAUUGUUGCGUGCUACUGUGAUGCCUGGCUGCUUCAACGCAAGUGUUGCAGUUAGAGUUGAUCAGCUGUGCGUGAUGUUUCUCAGCUUGUUAGUCAACCUUUGUUCGUGCUUGGGGAUAACUGCAGGUUCCAUGCUCUUCCCUGCGGGGUUGAUCUCGUGCCUGUUAGGACUCAGGUGUGUACACUUGGUGACAAAAUGGUUCUCUUCGACCCGUCUUGAAACACGGACCAAGGAGUCUAGCACAUGUGCAAGUUCACAGGUGGCAAGCCUGCUUGCGCAAUGAAGGUGACUGCUGGGAUAUUUGCACCAGCAACCGACCAAUCAAUUGAGAGAAGUUUGAGUAUGAGCAUAUGUGUU